GUGAAUCAUCGAAUUUUUGAACGCAAAUUGCGCUUCCUGGUAUCCCGGGGAGUAUGCCUGUUUGAGGGUAAGUAUGAACAAAAAAUCGGUUUGGUUGCAAAUUGUGACGUUUGAGGAGUUUGGGCUUAUCUUAAUUUUUUUGGUUAAGGGGCUUAAAUUUAACCUUUUUUGCGAAUGUUUAGACGUACUUAAAUUUUUUUUUAUUCGUCUAUUCUUAAUGCUAGAAUCUUAUUAGAUGUGAUAACAUCGUGUGGCUUCUUGGU
rnacentral:misc_RNA from 1 species